AGAAUGAGGAAACCGAGAUCCAAUGAGAAUAAACAGAGAGCACAGAGAUCUGAAGAAGGAAUUAACUUCCAUUACCUGCUGAGGAUUGGCGGACUUGAAACAAAAAAAAAUACGAGCGAUAGCAAUUGGAUCCCCAAAUGGGAAAUGAUAAAAAAAUUGAAAAGUAUCA